rnacentral:lncRNA from 1 species
GAAGAAAAGAAAGACAGAAAGUGUUUGUCUUUCUCUUUUUUGUCUCGUGAGGGAGACAAGGCAAAAGGUAAAGACACACUAGGGAAAUUAAACUUGUAAUAUUAUACCUCUACAAUAAAAAUAAAUUAAUAGAAAACUUUUCUCUAAAAUCUCAGCAAAAUUGAAGAAGAAAGGAAAGAGAGAAAAGAUACAAGAAGGUCAAACAAAGUUGUGGUUUGGAUCGAUGGAAGAGAGAAGAAGCUUGUGAGGUUUAUAAAGCUGACAUAUAUAUAUUUAAAAAAGAACAGAAUAAGUCUCAAAGAAAAUCCAAACCAGUUGAGUUAUGAAAAGUAUAAGAUAUAGAGAGAGGUGUUAUAUGGUUUGUUUUGCACGUGAGAUUAUAGACCGGUCUAAAAAC